rnacentral:ncRNA from 1 species
GGCUUCCGCUGGGGCCGACGUCGACGGUCCGGGCUGAGAGGCCGGAAAGUCGGAAGACCGAGAGGUCGGAAGACCGGAAGGCGACCCCUAGUACCUGAUCCGGGUAAUGCCGGCGCAGGGAACCCGUCUCGUAGGUCA